rnacentral:rRNA from 1 species
UACGUAGGUGGCAAGCGUUGUCCGGAUUUACUGGGCGUAAAGGGCGUGCAGGCGGUCUGUUAAGUGCAGGGUGAAAGCUCCCGGCUCAACUGGGAGAGGUCCUUGCAUACUGGCGGACUUGAGGGGGGUAGAGGAAAGUGGAAUUCCCGGUGUAGUGGUGAUAUGCGUAGAUAUCGGGAGGAACACCUGUGGCGAAGGCGGGUCUCUGGGCAGUAACUGACGCUGAGGAGCGAAAGCGUGGGGAGCGAACAGG